rnacentral:lncRNA from 1 species
UACCUCUUGAAGAUCGAGAGAGACGACCAAAAAACUCGGAGUUGGGAGAGAUUUGGUUCUUGAACCUCCAAGCUCCAAAACUUUGCUCAAAAGCUUAAAUCUUCAAAACCAAGUUAAAACAAGUGAAAAUCUUGAAAGAUUUAGAGGAAGAACAUCAAAAAUGGGUGAGGGACGGCGGAGAGCUCACCUUGGCCGAAAAUGGGGAAAAGCUCGCCCGUUUUCGGCUAAGGGACCCUUUUAUAGUGGCUGGCCAGACCACGUUCGGGGGCCGAAUGUGCCUCCGCAUGCAUGCC